AUUGAACGCUGGCGGCAUGCUUUACACAUGCAAGUCGAACGGUAACAGGGUGCUUGCACCGCUGACGAGUGGCGAACGGGUGAGUAAUGCGUCGGAACGUGCCGAGUAGUGGGGGAUAACGCAGCGAAAGUUGUGCUAAUACCGCAUACGUACUGAGGUAGAAAGUGGGGGACCUUCGGGCCUCACGCUAUUCGAGCGGCCGACGUCUGAUUAGCUAGUAGGUGAGGUAAAGGCUCACCUAGGCGACGAUCAGUAGCGGGUCUGAGAGGAUGAUCCGCCACACUGGGACUGAGACACGGCCCAGACUCCUACGGGAGGCAGCAGUGGGGAAUUUUGGACAAUGGGCGAAAGCCUGAUCCAGCCAUGCCGCGUGUCUGAAGAAGGCCUUCGGGCUGUAAAGGACUUUUGUCAGGGAGGAAAUCCCUAGCGUUAAUACCGCUGGGGGAUGACAGUACCUGAAGAAUAAGCACCGGCUAACUACGUGCCAGCAGCCGCGGUAACAC
rnacentral:rRNA from 1 species